GACGAACGCUGGCGGCGUGCUUAACACAUGCAAGUCGAACGGAAAGGCCCUGCUUUUGUGGGGUGCUCGAGUGGCGAACGGGUGAGUAACACGUGAGUAACCUGCCCUUGACUUUGGGAUAACUUCAGGAAACUGGGGCUAAUACCGGAUAGGAGCUCCUGCUUCAUGGGGGGGGUUGGAAAGUUUCGGCGGUUGGGGAUGGACUCGCGGCUUAUCAGCUUGUUGGUGGGGUAGUGGCUUACCAAGGCUUUGACGGGUAGCCGGCCUGAGAGGGUGACCGGCCACAUUGGGACUGAGAUACGGCCCAGACUCCUACGGGAGGCAGCAGUGGGGAAUAUUGCACAAUGGGCGGAAGCCUGAUGCAGCAACGCCGCGUGCGGGAUGACGGCCUUCGGGUUGUAAACCGCUUUCGCCUGUGACGAAGCGUGAGUGACGGUAAUGGGUAAAGAAGCACCGGCUAACUACGUG
rnacentral:rRNA from 1 species